rnacentral:rRNA from 1 species
GCAAGUUUUUAAGGGCGCACGGUGGAUGCCUUGGCAUCAGGAGCCGAUGAAGGACGCGGUAAUCUGCGAUAAGCCUCGGGGAGCUGAUAAACGAGCUGUGAUCCGAGGGUCUCCGAAUGGGGAAACCCCACUACGUGUUAUGCGUGGUGACCCGCACCUGAAUUCAUAGGGUGUGUGGAGGGAACGUGGGGAAGUGAAACAUCUCAGUACCCACAGGAAGAGAAAACAACAGUGAUUCCGUCAGUAGUGGCGAGCGAACGCGGAAGAGGCCAAACCGAUGGUGUGUGAUACCCGGCAGGGGUUGCAUCAUCGGGGUCGUGGGGCGUGUCGUCCCGGGUCUGCCGGCCCGGGCGUGUGAGUGCAGGGCGAUAGUCGAACCGGUGUGAGUGCCGGACCGGAGAGGGUGAGAGUCCCGUAGACGAAAUCGUUGCUGCCGCACGGUACGCGUACCCAAGUAGCACGGGGCCCGAGAAAUCCCGUGUGAAUCUGCCAGGACCACCUGGUAAGCCUAAAUACUACCUGAUGACCGAUAGCGGACUAGUACCGUGAGGGAAAGGUGAAAAGCACCCCGACGAGGGGAGUGAAACAGAUCCUGAAACCGGACGCCUACAAGCAGUCGGAGCCGCCUUGCGCGGUGACGGCGUACCUUUUGUAUAAUGGGUCAGCGACUUUGUCUCUCGAGCAAGCUUAAGCCGGUAGGUGUAGGCGCAGCGAAAGCGAGUCUGAAUAGGGCGACGAGUUCGAGGGAUAAGACCCGAAACCGAGUGAUCUAGCCAUGUGCAGGUUGAAGGUGCGGUAACACGCACUGGAGGACCGAACCCACGUCUGUUGAAAAAGACGGGGAUGACGUGUGGCUAGGGGUGAAAGGCCAAUCAAACUUCGUGAUAGCUGGUUCUCCCCGAAAUGCAUUUAGGUGCAGCGUUACGUGUUUCUUGCCGGAGGUAGAGCUACUGGAUGGCCGAUGGGCCCUACAAGGUUACUGACGUCAGCCAAACUCCGAAUGCCGGUAAGUGAGAGCGUAGCAGUGAGACUGUGGGGGAUAAGCUUCAUAGUCGAGAGGGAAACAGCCCAGACCACCAACUAAGGCCCCUAAGCGUGUGCUAAGUGGGAAAGGAUGUGGAGUUGCUUAGACAACCAGGAGGUUGGCUUAGAAGCAGCCACCCUUGAAAGAGUGCGUAAUAGCUCACUGGUCAAGUGAUUCCGCGCCGACAAUGUAGCGGGGCUCAAGUACACCGCCGAAGUUGUGGCAUUGCACCAAUGAUACCCAACCGGUCUUCGGACCGGUUCAGGUGGUGCGAUGGGUAGGGGAGCGUCGUGUGGGCAGUGAAGCUGCGGGGUGACCCAGUGGUGGAGCCCACACGAGUGAGAAUGCAGGCAUGAGUAGCGAAUGACGGGUGAGAAACCCGUCCGCCGGAUGAUCAAGGGUUCCAGGGUCAAGCUAAUCUGCCCUGGGUCAGUCGGGACCUAAGGCGAGGCCGACAGGCGUAGUCGAUGGACAACGGGUUGAUAUUCCCGUACCGGCGAAGAACCGCCCCUAUCGAACCGGGGACACUAACCACCCGAACCGGGCCAUGCGGUGACCAUUGGUCGCCGCCGGCACCGGGGAGCGUGGGACCUGAACCGGGGAGGUAAGCGUAUUAACAGGUGUGACGCAGGAAGGUAGCCGAGCCGGGCGAUGGUAGACCCGGUCUAAGCGUGUAGGGCGAUCCGUUGGCAAAUCCGCGGAUCAUUGAGCCUGAGACGUGACGGGACCCCCAUUCGUGGGGGGAUUCGGUGAUCCUAUGCUGCCGAGAAAAGCAUCGACGCGAGGUUCCAGCCGCCCGUACCCCAAACCGACACAGGUGAUCAGGUAGAGAAUACUAAGGCGAUCGAGAGAAUCAUGGUUAAGGAACUCGGCAAAAUGCCCCCGUAACUUCGGGAGAAGGGGGGCCCCGACCGUGGACACCACUUGCUGGUGCGAGCGGGUAAGGGCCGCAGAGACCAGGGGGAAGCGACUGUUUAUCAAAAACACAGGUCCGUGCGAAGUCGCAAGACGAUGUAUACGGACUGACUCCUGCCCGGUGCUGGAAGGUUAAGAGGACCUGUUAGCCUCACGGCGAAGCGGAGAAUUUAAGCCCCAGUAAACGGCGGUGGUAACUAUAACCAUCCUAAGGUAGCGAAAUUCCUUGUCGGGUAAGUUCCG